rnacentral:rRNA from 1 species
GACAGAGGUGGCAAGCGUUGUUCGGAAUUACUGGGCUUAAAGGGCGCGUAGGUGGUGGCGUAAGUCUGAGGUGGAAGGUCAGGGCUUAACCCUGAAAUUGCCUUGGAAACUGCAUCACUUGAGUCAGCGAGGGGAUGGCGGAAUUCCCGGUGUAGCGGUGAAAUGCGUAGAUAUCGGGAGGAAGGCCGGUGGCGAAGGCGGCCAUCUGGCGCUGAACUGACACUGAGGCGCGAAAGCGUGGGGAGCAAACAGG